rnacentral:lncRNA from 1 species
AUUGCGCGCCCGAGGUGGAGCCACAGAGUGACGAAAUGCUUGAGGACGGGAGCGCAUGCAAGCCUGUGAGAACCGCAAGGAAGAGCACAUCCUAUAACGGCAAGCAACAUUGCAUUCUACGUCUCCACGAAUGCGGUGAAAAAAGGAAGAGUCGCUUCGCUCAUGUUUCCCUUGACGGCACACAAGAUCCCAAUUUCCCUGGAGAAUCGUGCGGAUUUUUUGCGGGGUGAAAGCGCAUCUUGAACACCAAGCAAGACUAGAUAACCCGCGCAGCGCCACCCAGACAGCAAGCCGUCCUUCGACCGCCUACAUAGAAGAGCUGCUUCUUCUUGUUUUGCUGGAAUAACUAGAAGCAAUCUCGCGUGCAUGGGCCUACAUAAUGUACCGUAUCGGUAUCUAUUACUUGUAGGAGAACGCAGAUAUGUACUCCUCAGCAAAGUGCCGCACCCCAUGGUCACGGAAAUUGUUCAAAGCUUGUACCGUGGACGGGCGAUGCCACUUAGCUUGUGUUUUUUGUGAUAUGGAGCUUUCUAGCACUCCAACGAAGAGAGAAACCUCCAUCCUGCGGCAAUCCUAAGCGCCUUUAUCUUGGUUUAGAGGUGAGAGUUCUCACAGUGACAGAUCUGGCAGUGACAAGCUGACUGUUUGCAUAGAAAAUUUGUUUUCUUUUUGUUUCCCGUAUUAGCUAAUCCUUAAGCCUCAAUACGUCUACCUGUCAGAUCCUUACACCUCAGAAGAUGCACAAUCGAAACGCUGAAUAAUGUGGAAAACUGCUACUUAGAAGUCAGUAUGAUCAGUACUAUCGUACUGGGAGUAAUCGACUCUGAGACGCUCAUAAGAGUAACUGAUGUAACGGGCCGCAGCAACUUCUCUUUAAUACUGUCUACGACGUUUACUCGGCGUGAUCCACCUCGCACGGCCUGCGUGAUGCUCUGAGAAGCAUCGAUUGUUCUAUUGGCUCUACUGACACCCCCUCUGAGUCCAGCAGGAUUAGGGAGAUCGUAAGUUUAUAUUUACAGUCCUUUCUUGUUUCACGAACGAGACACUUCCUUCGCAGAUAUUUCUUCACCGUGCCUACAGUGGAGAUGAUAUGGGUGCUGCUUUGUCAUAGAGAUACUCCAGCAGGGUCACAGGGUAGCACAGCCUGCUUCGGUGCUAUGACUCCUGAUGAAUGGACAAAGACGCCACUACAAAAGAGGCGCCAAAUGUCUUCGGUGAUUCUUUUCUGAGAUGAGAUGUAUGUUUCUAUAAUGAGCAACUGCCCAAUUUGCGUUGUCAGAUGACGAUGAAAUCGAGAUCCCACGGCCAUGCAAAGCUGUCAUCGUGGGCGUGAUCGUUAUCCUGAAACCAGUCACUAUCAUCAGAUUCUAAACUGUCUUCGAAUUCCCAAGAGUCUACGCCAAGCAGCGCGCCGUUUCCCCUGUCGAACCCUACCCGCGGAAGUAGGAGAUCCUCCAGCGUUUCCUUAGAGACAGAACCAUCACUUAGGUGAGUGAAAACAUUCCCCGAGUCUCCCCCAACUUUGUCAUGCGCCUGGAAUUCUCGGGUGUCGAGUGUAGGAAUCUCCCAUUUCAGAACAGCAUCACUGGAUCCGUCUCGUGUGUCAGCUUCCAUGGUCAGACUGUCAGCUAACAAGUCCAAAAAGCGGAUGUUCGACGUUAAUAGAGGGUGACGCUCACCCUGCCCACCAGCAUCCUUAUCCCUUUUAUUCAUUUCAUCUGCUAAUGCCACAAGUGGCUGGUGAAGAAAAGGAGAGUUGUCAACUGCCCUCGCAGCAUACUCAGCUGUUUUCCUUUCAGAGGAAAACACAUUGCCAUCACGGCUUGUUUCGUCGUCUAGCUGAGCUUGGGGGGGUUCUUCGGGAAGGACGAUCUCGUGGCCGCGAUCCUCAAGCUGCACUUGAAGAUACUCUUUCCAUAGGGCUCGCUUAUGUUCUAAGGGGACGUUAUCGAAUGAGUACUGGAAAACGAUGUCUUGCAGGGUGCCCACGUCGGGCUUCUUCUUUGCUUCUUCUGCUCCUUCUCGCUCUACCUGAUCAUAAAAUGCUGAUAAGGCUGCCGCAUUUUCUGCAUACCGGACGGCAUCUAAAACGGCGGGGCCAUCGUUUUCCAACCCGCCUUUCGCGCUGUCCCGCGGAUGGUUCUGCCCUGACAAGGCCAACCGCAAAGAGUUUGUGAACAGAGGAAAAUGAAUUGAUCUUUUCCUCAUCUUUUCCUCCAGUAUUUCAUUCAGCUUCCGAUCUGCAAAGACUGUGGAAUCGGUCAGCCACUCCAUUCUACCGUGGGCAGUGGCUUCAGCUAGGCCCCCAAUACCCUGAGUUCGCCGUCCAGCGGAGCCCGGCACGAGACUCGCAAUAAAAGAGCGUGAAUAGGCCGGGUACAGAAAGCGCUGCAGUGCAGUCGCUACUGUUUCUUCUGGGUCAUCGAACACCUCAAACCCUCCCACAACUUUGCGUUUUCCCUUAGGUCUUUCCCUGUUCUCCACCUUGGGACUGAACGGGGAAUUUCCUUGCAGAGCUUGUGGUGGUUUCUUUGUCUUAGACACUGGGUACUCUUUGGUGGGUGGUUGAACAGGGAUUUGAUGAAAGUGGGUGUUCACUCCUAGUCGCUCUCCAAGGGAAUCGCUGCCUUCCAUGACUGACGCGAAUACACUUGCCGUCAUGCGGUGCUCUAUCGCACGGCUUCCGGCACCAUACUUUUUGUAUCGGUAAGUCCUCCACUGGACACGCUCAGGACGGGACUUCUUGAUCUUUGAUGUUCGGACCGACACAGUGGCAUUUUUCCCCUGCAGGUGACGCAGCUCGAAUUCCAGGGACCCGUGCUGCUGGAUCAGGCGAUGGCUCUGAAGGGAAACAAGUGAUUCCAGGAAAGCUGUGAGACGCUGCUGUUGCUCCAAGAGUUCCUGCACGUGGGUCGCUAGUACUACGAGUUCUGUCGGAUUACCAAAUGCCAGAUCAUGAACGGAAGAGCUACCUUUCUUUCUGUCAUGUUUCACCCCUUCGCUGUGACCGGCCACACCUUCCUCAGUUGUUCGAGCCCGACCUUGCCACUCUUCCAAACUCUGUUGGUCACUUCGCGAGCCGCGAGAAUCCGUCGCACCGAGGAGUACAUGUCGAGGAACUAAGCGGACGACACUGAGACUUGCGAGCUGUUUUUGAAGCGUAUCGACGGUCUGUUGGAGACUUGCCAAACCCCUGCGGAACUCCGUUUUUGCUUCUCGCAAGGAAUCUCUGUGGGUCUCCUCUUGUCCUUUAUUUCUCCCUCUCGAAGAGAGGAGGAGCAGUCGACGGUGCUCAAGUUCCUCGUAGCGCCUCCACUCUUCACCUAGCGAUGCCUGCUGGUCUUUAGCUCGACCUAAAAGCUUUUCAAGUGCCUCUUUGGUGGCUGUCUCAAUGCCACUGGCGACUGCCACAACUUCCCUUUGACGUUCGUGCAGCGCAGAACGUCUCGAAUCUGUAAGUGGGAGCUUUGGAGACGGGUUGAUCCAUUUGUGUUUCUGGAAGCCCUCAAUCUUCAGUUUGCCCUGUAUUCUUUUUUGUCCUCCUUUUGGCUGUGUCCCGAUGCCGCCCUGAUGGGAUUGACCAUCACCUGAUGUAAAUUGCUGUUCAGCAGCCUGCUUUUCAGUCAUUGAGAAGCCCUGCAGCUGUCGCGGCUUCUCUGAAGACAGGGACGGAUUCCGUUUAGACUGUCUGGCAACGUCAGAGUCUGUUGCCUGGUCCACAGGGUUUCUGAAUUUUCCCUCUAAACCGGUAGCUCUGCGCUUGUCUCCCACUUUCUUCCCACUCUUUUCAUCCUGCGUCAAAGUCCCAACCACAUUAUGCUGCUCCUUGAUGGUUGACUCUCUUCCCAACUGCACCUCCGCUAACAUCUCAGGGAUAUGAGCAAGGCUUUUGGUCGAGAUGUUGGUGUACCAAAGUGGGUUAUCAACCACUGUAACGUGAGCAAGAACAAGAGAUGCAGUGUCAUCCGUCGUUGAUAACGGUGCAGAAUAUCGUGGCGACGAAUGAUUAAGGAACACGGGAGUGGCAUGCUCUGGUGAUGUUUGUGAAUCCAGAACUCUCCGAUUCGUUGGAGUGCCCGAAACAUCUAAGUGAGCAGCCG